UACGUAGGGUGCGAGCGUUGCCCGGAUUUAUUGGGCGUAAAGGGCGCGUAGGCGGCUCGGCACGUCCGUUGUGAAAUCGCCCGGCUCAACUGGGCGGGGUCAGCGGAUACGGCCGAGCUUGAGCAAGCUAGGGGGCAAUGGAAUUCCCGGUGUAGUGGUGGAAUGCGUAGAUAUCGGGAGGAACACCAGUGGCGAAGGCGGUUGCCUGGAGCUUUGCUGACGCUGAUGCGCGAAAGCGUGGGGAGCGAUCCGG
rnacentral:rRNA from 1 species